UCUUCAAUGAAGAGAACUUUGUCCAGUUCUGCUACUGAAUGAAAGUGCUGAUAGUUUAGACUCUGAGAAA